rnacentral:rRNA from 1 species
UUAAUUGAAGAGUUUGAUCAUGGCUCAGAUUGAACGCUGGCGGCAGGCUUAACACAUGCAAGUCGAGCGGUAGCACAGGGGAGCUUGCUCCCUGGGUGACGAGCGGCGGACGGGUGAGUAAUGUCUGGGAAACUGCCUGAUGGAGGGGGAUAA